rnacentral:rRNA from 1 species
UACGGGGGGGGCAAGCGUUGUUCGGAAUUACUGGGCGUAAAGGGCUCGUAGGCGGCCAACUAAGUCAGACGUGAAAUCCCUCGGCUUAACCGGGGAACUGCGCCUGAUACUGGAUGGCUUGAGUUUGGGAGAGGGAUGCGGAAUUCCAGGUGUAGCGGUGAAAUGCGUAGAUAUCUGGAGGAACACCGGUGGCGAAGGCGGCAUCCUGGACCGACACUGACGCUGAAAAGCGAAAGCCAGGGGAGCAAACGGG